GUUGUUUUAGUUUAAGUUAAAAUAGGUAAUUUGUAAUUAUUAGAUUUGGGGCAACU
rnacentral:tRNA from 1 species